AUUGGGGAGUGACAGAGAUAGAAGGAGAAUGGCGAGAGGAUUGGGGAGUGACAGAGAUAGAAGGAGACAGAGGAAGGUAUUGGGCAAGGUCUUGGGGAUCUGCAGGGAGAGGGGGGACGGAAUUCCGGUCAUCACCAGUGGUGAGAGGCGGUGGAAAAAGGGCGGAAGCACGGUGGUUACGAGACCAAGGGUUUGACAUUGGAAUCUGUGUCAGAGAAAGUUUGACUUUUUUUUUUAGAAUAACUCAAAUUGA
rnacentral:lncRNA from 1 species